rnacentral:lncRNA from 1 species
GUCAUUUAUCUGAGUAAUAUAUUUAUUAUACUGCAUAAAACUUUUCUAAAUAAGGUAAUAUUAUAAAAGUGGUCCUAAAACAUAGUGAUUCUUUUGUUAGUAACAAGUAUUAUUUAUCAUUCCAUGUGCUUCUGUGUCUUAAAGGAAAUCCUACACGCACACAAUUCACUUAAUUAAUUUAAUAUUUAAAAAAAAUCAAUUAUACCUUUUCCUACACUUAUUAACCAAUAAUAAAGUUUGAUAUUCAAAAUUACUGGUUUUUCUCUUUCAAUCACUUAACAUACUCACUUCUAAAAAAAUAUAUACAGCAAAUGUUUUAUUUUAUUUUAAAUUAAAAAAAUAGAAGCGCUAUUUUCAGUGUAAAUUAAAGUCUUCUUGAAGAAAUAAAGGUAAUUUCACACCUAGUAUCAUUUUAUAUGCUUAAUUAAUUUAAAUAAUUAGUAGCUUACUUAUUCUUUAAUUUUAUAGGAACUGCUCAAACAUUUCUAUUUACAAUCUUUCGUUUGUGUUUACACAAAUAAAUAAUUACAAUAAUGCAGUGGAAGGUUUUAACUAUGUUUAGUUGUAAAUAUUCAACGAUAUAAGUUAAUUAAAGUCGUUUCAAAUUUAUAGUAGAAAUAUGUUUUCCGUCCAACAAGUUACAAGACUUAGUAUAAUUUUUAUAAUGUUAACAAAGUCGAUAAAUUUAAGUGUUCUAAAAUCACAGGGAUUAAACAAUGAAGGCGAUUUUUCCCGAAUUAUUGAGGUCAACCAACUUUCAACUACCUACAAUUCCAAAUAUGAAGACAUCAUAUUAAUAUAAAUAAGUUGGGGGAAACUUUUUUUACAGCUCCUACUAGUAUCCAUUAACACGCUAGAAAAACAAUCAAAGGCCCAACUAUGGCUGCUAAUCUUUACCUCAAUAAAUAUUUAUUUGGAUUAAUGGGUCAAAGAGCAUUCAACAACCAUUGCAAUAAUAAUGCUUAUGAGCCAUGGAGUGAUCUCAACUUAAGAUGAAGAGUACAAACAACGCAUAGAUGAAGUCGUAUGAUUGAUUAUGUUAAUGGGUUUUUGAAGUGAAGAGCGUGUCAUUUGGAUGAAGACGUGUCUCUUUAUUAGUCUUUAAAUGACUUGAUAGUGGACAUAAGUGGUGUUUGUGCUAUUGUUCAUAACUUUAUUGGUUUAUAACUUUAAGAAGGGUUAGAAGCUUGUUGCAUAAAAUAUUGUUAAAAUAGUUAUGUUUCGAUUUUUAACCAACGUUAUCGCCAUCUUAUAAAAUACAAGCUUUUAAUGCGAAGUAAUUUUACGUAAUCUUUGAUUUUAAUUUUUUAUCUUAAUAAAUGUUUGAUUUGUUAAA